AGAGGGAGGGCUCCAGCCGCCAGCCGGGAGGUGCGGAAGUUCGCCGCCGCUGUUCAUUGGCGGGCAGCGCGGCUUUCAUCAUUUCUCGGAAAAGUCAAUUUCAUUUUCACUUCCCCACGUCGCGGCUGCGGGGAGCAACAAGCGGUAGCGCGUGAGUGUGUGGCUCGCGCCGAGGGUCGCUCGCUUUUCACCGUGGCCACGCUGGAGAGGGGGCUCCGGAAGUGGCGGGCGAGGCGCAGGCUUGGGAUCUGGCCACCAGCUAGUGGCCAUGGGGAAGGAAGGAGAACCUCUGUGCUCAGGCUGCACACAGAAACUUAUCUUGGAGAGUCGCCCGUUGCAAAGGAAUGUUAGGAACGAAGUCAGCUGAAAAGAGAGCAUUACUUGCCUCUCUACUUUAUUGGAUCUUCUACUGGGGACAGGAAAAGGAAGUGUACCCAUGUACUUGCGGAAGGAAAUAGGUGAGAUUAAGGACUCUGUCUUGUCUUAAAAAUAGAUUUCCCUCAGGCACACAUUGUCCUUUAUUCCUCCCCUAAUAACACUGUACAAACCUUGCUUUCAUAUUUUAUAUACAUCAAUAACCAUGAGAGUAUACAAACUUUGAGAUAGUUGUCCCUCUUUAUCAACUAGGCACCUAAGUUAAAAACCUCAUAACCACCAGCCAUUCUUUUCUUGCAUACUUUUUGUGUGCAUGAGUACAUGUGGUGUGUGUUUGUGUGUGUGUGUGUGUGUGUGUGUGUG